GCACACGUGACAUUAGGUACUCAUGGUAGGAACAUGAGAGUGUGUGGAGAACAUUUGUGGAUGACCUACAGUAUGCUCCCCACCCAGUCCCCAUGGAGUAAAAGGAUCAGAGUUGUGGCUGAACGACGACACUAUCAACAUACAGCUGGCUGGUUAUACGCUGUACCGGCAGGAUAGAAAAGCGGUGUCUGUCUGUUUUUUUUCCUAGCCAUCCUGGUUUUGACCCUUGCCUGCCCUGACGCCGAAUCCGCCUGCCCGACCACUCUACCUGUUCUGACCUCGAGCCUGCUUAUCCCCUGGUACUGCUUGGACUCGGACCUGGUUUAGGAACUCUCGCCUGUCCCCGA
rnacentral:lncRNA from 1 species